GUUUUAAUAGUUUAAAUAAAACAUUAGUCUUGUAAACUAAAAAUAAAAAUUAUUUUUUAAAACU
rnacentral:tRNA from 1 species